CAACUUAAAUUUACUUAAAUAUUGAUUUGUUAUCCUGUGCCAGACAGAUGGCUGAUAUUCUGAGAAGAGACCUUGAUGAAAUGAAGUUUUAUGGGAACAAAGAUUUUGAAAACACGUCGCAGUGUUUAGAUUUUAACAAAAAUAAGGCACCAAGGUCGAAAAUAGUUCUAGUUCAUAAUGAAGAAAAUGUCAACCGUUUUCUAGCUUGGCGAUCUCCGCACGCACCCGAAUAUAAUAGACAAAUACAAUACAAUAGUACACAAAACGUAACAUAAAGAACUAAAGACCGAGCAACACGAACUCCAACAAAACGGUAUAUAUUUCAUACAAGUAUAGAACUAUAUGAAGCGUCGUAACUGUUGCGGCGACGUCAAUAACGUUGUCGUUGUUUUUUGUUUUUUUUUACACUCAAGAUUCAACUUUAACAGGGUAUAGCUUGAAAAGUAGCACGGUUGCUAAGGACUUUCUUUGCACCAAUCGAUUCCUCAGACAUUUUAGAAUCGUCUCAUAAAUUUAAAAAAAAAUCGAUUGUCUAAUAUAAUAGAAAAUCUUGGAAAUGUAACAAUUCCUGCCGAAUUUCAC
rnacentral:lncRNA from 1 species